UACAGUGGUGGAAAUCCAAGCCCUCCCCAUGUGAACCAUCAGAAGAAGGGAGACUGUAUUCCCCUGCAAAUGUACAUAAAGGAACAUUCCCACCUCUCUCUUUUCCAAGUAUUCCCCAAGAAUUACAUAGAGAAAGAGGAUUCAGCUAACCUACUCAAUUCAUUUUUGUGGGAAACUAGUUGACUGAGACACAUAAAAUGUGUGGCUGAUUUAUUGGAUGGAGGAGCCAUAUUAAUGAUAUGCCCAGAUAUGUAUGAUAACAAGAGGGAAAUAGAAACCAACUGUUCUAUCUACUGAACCUACUUCAUUAAGAG